rnacentral:tRNA from 1 species
GGUGUCGUGGUUUAGUUUGUUAAAGUGCCUACCUAAUAAGCAGGAGAUCCUGGGUCUGAAUCCCAGAAGUGCCU